UGGUUCCCACGCCGGGAAUCGAACCCGGUUCUCUUGGGUGAGAGCCAGGUAUCCUAACCAUGUGGACAUUGAGAC